rnacentral:rRNA from 1 species
GACGUAGGGCGCGAGCGUUGUCCGGAUUUAUUGGGCGUAAAGAGCUCGUAGGCGGCUUGUCGCGUCGACCGUGAAAACUUGGGGCUCAACCCCAAGCCUGCGGUCGAUACGGGCAGGCUAGAGUUCGGUAGGGGAGACUGGAAUUCCUGGUGUAGCGGUGAAAUGCGCAGAUAUCAGGAGGAACACCGAUGGCGAAGGCAGGUCUCUGGGCCACUACUGACGCUGAGAAGCGAAAGCAUGGGGAGCGAACAGG